rnacentral:lncRNA from 1 species
GGCCACGCCCCGUAGGACCUGACCAAGCCCGGUACUGAGGCUUCACAAGGCCUCCGCCUGUGCGGCCACUUCCUCUUCCUCCUGCCUCUCCUCUUUUUUGGGGGAGAGGGGCACGCCCUGCCGCUGGCCCACAGACCUCGUGGAUGCCGCAUAGAAUGGCCCGAAGUAAACACGGGGUUCUUUCCCAUAAGGGCCCCGUCCAGGGAUGGGGGUUGAGUCACCUUCUCCCCUGUAGUCUUUGCGGGAGUUUAAAGGAAACAAACGACUCACCUGCUGCAAGUGCUUAGCAUUGUGCUAGAAUAAUUACAGAAGCUAUCUCAAGCUGGGCGUGGUGGUGCACGCCUGUAAUCCCAGCUACUUCGGAGGCUGAGACGGGAGGAUCGCUUGAGCCCAGGAGAGAUCACAACACUGCACUCCAGCCUGGGUGACAGGGUGAGACUCUUCAAAAAAAGGGGCAAGAAUAAUUCAGCAGUAGUUGGUUACAGAGUGAAAAGUACUCCCACUUGAUUUUUAUUUUAUUAUCCUGGACUCGAUUUUAUUAUCAAGUGGGAUUUUUACCUGGGCUUUCAGAAGUUAAGGUAAUUUGCCCAAGGUCACAUGAUUAGUAAAUUAUCAGUUUAGGAUUGAACUCAGGUCACCUGUCUCCCCCAAAGCAUACAGAAUGCAGGUGUGUACAUUUAUCUAAGUGUGUCAAACUGUACAGUUAAAAUGGGUACAUUUAAUGUUACUUAUAACCCAGUUAAGUUGGUUUUUUUCAAUCAUGCAGAAUGAGUGAUGUUAUAAAACUCGUCAAAUAAACCACAUUAUGAUUUCAUACAUGAAAGUAUUUUUAAAGGCUGGGUGCAGUGGCUCACGCCUGUAAUCCCACCACUUUGGGAAGCUGAGGCAAGUGGAUCACCUGAGGCUAGGAGUUCAAGACCAGCCUGGCCAACAUGGUGAAACCCCAUUUCUACAAAAAAUACAAAAAUUAGCUGGUCAUAGUGGCACAUGCCUGUAAUCCCAGUUACUCGGGAGGCUGAGGCACAAGAAUUGCUUGAACCCGGGAGGCAGAGGUUGCAGUGAGCUGAGAUUGUACCACUGCAGUCCAUCCUGUGCAAGAGAGUAAGACUGUCUCAAAAAGAAAGUUUAUGUAUGAAGAUAUGCCUUUAUUUAUAACACAACUGUCAAGCGUUGUUCAUUCAAGUGACCUUUCCAAACUUCAGUACAGAUGUAUAUAAAUAUCAAGCAGGAAGCUACCAUGGGUUAGGGUCAUGAAAGUCUGUCUUGGAAAUCAACCAAGCAUACACAGAAUUGGAAACAACAUUGGAAGUAUGUGAUACCACACCUAUCUAACAAAAACAUCUUCAAAGUGCAGGGCACUGAACGGAUCAGACACUUUUGCUAUUGGGUAUGCACAAAAGUCACCUUUCAUAUGUAUAAUAUACUAUGUAUGGUACUAAGGAUUGUAUAAUAUACUAUGUAUGGUACUAAGGAUGGUGAUUACAAGCUGUGCAGCAGAACUUAGAAGUUUGUAUUUUCAAUUAUACCAAGGCUGUGUUUGACUGUUUAAAGACAGUAUACUGACGACUGUUUCAUUUUAUAAUGUUCCACUUUGAAGUUUUACCAGUUUCAGAAACAUCUUGAAUUUAAGGCUUUAAUGAAAUUUUGUGAAUCAAAAAUUCAUAAAAUUGGUAUUCUGAACAAUCAUGAUUGUCCACACAUAUGUAGAAACAGGAUACAGCAUAACUCAGUUUUUCUCACAAGUGGUAAACUGGCUUUCAUAGAAUGGUUAAACUGAUGCUAGUUGCCACCCCGGCCCAAUACACGUAUGUUUCUGUCGGUCAAUUUAACAGCCCCUCUUAUAAUAAUAAACUCCACAGUCCUCAAAAUAGGAUGUGACUGAUUGGAUUUCACUUUAGGAAUUCUGCACAACCUUGUGUUUUCCUAGAAAAUAUUUUCUUGGCCAGGCACAGUGGUUCAUGCCUGUAAUCAUUCUCUACGAUUGGUCUUCCAGCACUUUGGGAGGCUGAGGCAGGGGGAUGACCUGAACCCAGGAGUUUGAGACCAGCCUGGGCAACAUGGCAAAACCCCGUCUCUACCAAAAACACAAAAAAUUAGCCAGAUUUGGUAGCGUGUGCCUAUGGUUCAAGCUACUUGGGAGGCUGAGGUGGGAGGAUCACUUGAACCUGGGAGGCUGAGGUUGUAGUAAGUGGAGAUUGCACCACUGCACUCCAGCCUGGGUGAUAGAGUGAGACCUCAUCUCAAAAAUAAGAAAAAACUUAAAAUGUAAAAAAUUUAACCAAGGCCAGGCAUGGUGUCUCACAUCUGUAAUCCCAGCAUUUUGGGAGGCCAAGGCAGGCAAAUCACUUGAGGUCAGGAGUUCAAGACCAGCCUGGCCAGCAUGGCAAAACCCCCUCUCCACUAAAAAUACAAAAAUUAGCUCGUGUGGUGGCAGGCACCUGUAGUCCCAGCUACUUGGGAGACUGAGAAAGGAGAAACACUUGGACCCGGGAGGCGGAGGUUGCAGUGAGCCAAGAUCACACCACUGCACUCCAGCCUGGGCAACAGAGUCUGGGCAAGAGACUCAGUCUCAAAAAAUUUCAACCAAUAUGUAUAUAUAAAAGAUAUUCACUGCAGUGGCAUAUAUAAUGACGAAACUGGAAAACUUAAUCUAAAUCAACAAUAGUAACAUAUAUAGCAUUGAUAAGAGACUAUAAACAACUACAUCAAAAUGUUAAUUGUGGUUAUUGCUCAAUAGUAGGAUUAUGGGCCACUUAAAUUUUCUUUUCACUUCAACAUUUUUUCACAUUCUCUAUGAUUAGCAUUUUUUUAUAAUCAGGUAAAUAAAUACUAUUUUUUAAAAAAGAAAAUCCUUGGAGGGCUUAAGAAGCACUUAACUUCUUGAUCAUAGCUAAUAGAAUAAAAUAUUAGUGCUUAUACAUGGUAAAUAGCAAAGAAAUAAUCCUAAGCAAUGACUACUUUAGAAACCAGUCUCACUCUACCACCUGCUUUCAUUCUUAUCCUCAACUAGUUGUCAGAACUGUUUCCUGUGGUUGAAAGCCUGUUACUCCCAAAGUAGAAUAGUAUAAAAUGAAUAUAGUCUAAAAGCU